rnacentral:rRNA from 1 species
CUACACAUGCAGUCGAGCGGUAACAGAGAGUAGCUUGCUACUUUGCUGACGAGCGGCGGACGGGUGAGUAAUGCUUGGGAAUAUGCCUUUUGGUGGGGGACAACAGUUGGAAACGACUGCUAAUACCGCAUAAUGUCUACGGACCAAAGUGGGGGACCUUCGGGCCUCACGCCAAAAGAUUAGCCCAAGUGGGAUUAGCUAGUUGGUAAGGUAAUGGCUUACCAAGGCAACGAUCCCUAGCUGGUUUGAGAGGAUGAUCAGCCACACUGGGACUGAGACACGGCCCAGACUCCUACGGGAGGCAGCAGUGGGGAAUAUUGCACAAUGGGCGCA